UGAGGGGCUGGGGGCGUGGCUCAGGGGUGGAGCUCCUGCUUGGAAUCCACCUGUGAUCAGAACAUGGAGAAGUCCACCCUGGUAUCUGAGAGAUACCAUCACGAUAUCUCUCAGGGAAGCGCAAUCUACUAACAUUUACUAUUGAAGUAUGCCACUAAGCUGAAGGGCACAAGCCAGCUCCAGUGGAAGAUCAGAGGCACACAGCUCUCCAGACACCCUGUGGCUGAAUCAGGUGUGGGAUUUUGAAGAAGUCAAGAUUCGAAGUACGGAGACCUUGCCCAAGAUGACACAUGAAGACAAAGGUAGAUCGAGAAAUGUCUAGAACCGGGAAAAAAGGCUCAUUUCCGUAUCUUUGGCAGAGAGCAGAUCUGAAAAUCGAGAACCGUCAGAAAUGGAGUGUCUGGGAUGGUUCAAGAGAGACGGAGAGUCAGCAGCACUGAGCACAUCUAUGUUGAAGAUGCCCCUGUUAUGGUUGAUGGGGACACAUUCAGAAGCACAGACAUUCUGGCCUUUGGACCACAGGACAGACACCUGCUUUGCCAUGUGUCCACAGGAGGUGAGACACUUGGACAUCAGGAUCUGCCUGGAGACCACUGGGCACCCAGGUCACCAUGCCAUUACCAUGGAUACCCUCCAGCCUCUCUGACUUGCCUUCCUCUAACACAGCUUUGCUGAGCUUCAUCAGAAACCUUUGGUCCAGGACUGGAGAGAUAACUCAGUUAAGGGCAUGUGCUGUUGCUCCAGAAGACCAGAGUUUGGUUCCCAGAACCCAUGCCAGAUGGUUCACAACCACCUGUAUCUCCAGCACCAGGGGAUCAGACACCUCUGGCCUCUGAGAGCAUACACACACACAUACACAUGAAUUAAAAUGAAUAAAUUGAUUACUAAUAAUUAAA